GGGCCGUUAGCUCAAUGGUAGAGCACCGGGCUUUUAACCCGUUGGUUCCGAGUUCGAGUCUCGGGCGGCCCACCA
rnacentral:tRNA from 1 species